GCCUGUUUCUAAAAGGAGCGGCAUGUGCCCUCUGGCCAAAAACACAGCAACAGCCCACCCCCAAAUUCAGCCAGAGAGAGACAGCGCCCCUCUCCCUGCGCAGCCCCAUCUCCCCGGCCCCCUCCGGGCUGCUCGGAGGCAGGGGCCGGCGCAGACGCUCAGGCUCCCGCAUUUUACUGCUGCUCUGCAGAACUGGGGCUGCUGGGCCCCGGAGCCCUUCACGGCACCCUCACUGCCCCCGCAUCCUGCCGCCAGUACCGAAUUUAAUGCAAACAGCUCAUCUGACAAAUGCCCAUCAACGCCGGCUGUCUCCCACGGAUCCCCAGCUGCUCUGUUUCACCGAGAUCGUACUGCAGUUGUGGACACACCGCAUUUGCAAAAGCGUCUCUGCAGGACAGGCGCUCCCUGCUCGCCUCCUCCCCGACCGCCCCGGCGUCAGCCCCGGGCAACGGCGGCUCGCUCAGGGCGAAGGGAGCCGGCCUCGCCUCCGGCUCCAGCCGCGAGGGCCGGCUCGGGGAACGCGCAGGCACGCCGCGGGACAUGCACCAAGGCCAGGAGGUUACCCCAGCAUCUGCAAGGCCUCAGUCACGGACCAGGCCUGACGGCGCAAGGUCCUCUGCAAACACACGACAAGGAUAUCCUGCCGGAGGUAUCGCGCUUGAAGUCUGGAGAGGUGGCAAGACAGAUCCAGAUGUACAGAGGGGACAAAGACAGGCUAAGCUAAUAUGGUCAGCAGGUCUCUGCAGCAGGUAGCUGAUAAAAAGUUAAGAGAUAGAAAUAAGAAACAAGAAUUAUUUUAAAGAAGGACUUUUUUUUAAGGAAUGGCAUUUUUUGCAGGAAAGCAAACUCAAGCAGGAGGGCAACGUGAAAGAAGCACGAAGAUGUUAAUUUGAAAUGUAAACAAGUACGUGAAAACCAUGCAAGGGCGGGUGGGUGAGCUGAUACUGCAGUAUUGAAUGAGAUCAGGAAGAAAAUGGAGUAGUCCAUGAGGAAUCUUGAAAAUGAAGCCUAUAUUCAACAACAGCCAGAAAUGAACUAUGCAGCAGCAUUAGUGAAGAUCAACGGGAAGAUGAAAUUUGCCAUGGCCAAAGAACAGAGUUUCGCACUAAUCUGCAUGCGCAGUGACAACCACCCAGAGGACAGUUCGUACAGGACACCUGUACUGGACAUCUCAGAGGUUUCCUGCGUUGCCACAUGAUCCUGCCAUGCUCCCAGAUUUAUCCCUAGCUGUCUAUCUGGUGGCUGCAGGAAUAAGUCUAACUGCACUGGAGCCCUUGUUCAGGCUACCCAGGCCCUUGGAUCUUUGCUCCAGGUAUCUGCAACCCCUCCGAGCUGGAGGGUAACCCCGAGCCUUUCAGAAACUGCGCUGUGUCCAGCGGGCCGGCUGGGAGCCCCGGCUCGGCAUUUCCACAUGACAAGCGGGGACGCGUCAUCCACUCCCACAGCCUCCCGAAACGGAGCCAAGGAUUCCCAAUGCCGGCAGCCAACACAUCAGCCCCCCACGCUCCACUGAGCAAACCUGAUGCACAAAAAUCUAGGUCAGACCCACGCAGACGGUGCCUUGUGGCAAGGCUCGGAGGGACAUCGCAAGAUCGAACCUCCCGUUCCCAGCUCCACUAUGCCUUUGCUCCAAGUCCCAAAUCCCUCUCUGUGGAAGGGAAAGCAUAAACCUUCCCCACACAAAUUUUAAGCCCGCAGGGGUCAUCACAUCAGCCUGUCUGACCUGACACAAUGCUGCCCACCGCUUUUACUUACUUACACUCUCUCCAUGCUUCCAUUAUUUUGCCUGGGACUUCUGACUACUCACACAAAUUAAUUCUCCUCCAGCCGUCUUGUUUUUUCUGAAUAUUGCAAGAUUAAUUCAAAAAGAGAGUAAGCUGUGGGCAGCUCUUUUAUGACUCUUGCUAUUUAUCACUAGUCUCACAUCCUUCUUCAUUAAUGAAGAAUUAAUGAAGUCACUCUGUUUCUUUCCAAAUGCUCAGAGUUCAAAAAGUUCAUAUACAGAAUAUGUUUUUAAUAGUUGGUAUUUCUAUUUGAUAGAUAUGUUUAAUAUUUAGCAUUUGUUUCUGAUGUAUAUUAAAACUCUCAUUUUUUCUUAUUUCACAUCAUCUUUCUUGAAUUUCUGUCAAUUUCUUUUUUCCUGUUUGUUAUAUAUUCUUGUAUGUCUCAUUGCAGCUUUACCCAAAUGAGGCUUAUUGAGCAUUUAAUUAAAAUCACCCUCUUUCACAGCUGUGGUUUCUCAGUCAUCUAAUAAAUGCUUUCUAAACAGAA